GAUCCUCUGUAAACACCGAUAUUAGGGGUCCCAGGUCCUGACCCUCGCUGACGGCGUGUGGCUGGAGCUGACGGCUAUGUAUUCAGAAAUUCUGUGAACUGCUCAGUGGCAGUUACAUUGGAGUUUGAAACGGGCUCUGGCAGGCCCCUGCCAUACGAAUGGGCAAAUGCUGCCAUUUUCUCAACCACUACCUCUCCUCCACCCCCUCUCUCCCACCCUUACCCCACAGACAGCUGUUAAACAUUUACCAGCCUAGUCACCUUCCAGGGGCAUCUGGCAGACUCUGUAGCCACAAGCCAAGCUUUCAGGCCAGGCCAGUGUUGAGCAAGUCGGCCACCUCUAGCCAGAAACAAGGUCCUCUGUGCGUGUCUGGGCACUCCCUGACAUUAGAGAGACACUGUGUCCUAAGUUCCUUCUUCAAAAAGCUGUUAUUUGGACCCAAAUAAUAGAUUUUCUGCCUAGAGAGUGACUCUUGGCUCUUUGGCACCAAUUCCUGAACUACCAAGCCAAUAUCUUCAAAUCAAGGCUUGCAAAUAUUGAAUAGAUUAGAUUGUACUGUUUUUGUGUGUGUAGUGUGUGUGUUUGGUUGGUUUUUGUUUGAAUGCAUAAAUAAGCUAUCAGUGAAGCCUCCAACUUCUGUCCACGGAACGGUUGAAGAGGAGACGUAAAACACUCUUCAUCUAUGCACCAAUGUUAUUGUUCACCAUCAUGCAUGGACCAUCAAAGAAAGAGAAGGUGGGGUUAUCCUGCCUUCCCAGAGACAGACGAGUAUACAGAAGAUUUGAGGCAGAUCCAAGAGGACCUCCCACCCUGACUCACAUAUCAACCAAGGUCUUCCAGUUCAGUUUCCAAGUACCUAAGGGGUACUUAGAAAAUGAUCACAUUGGGGAAUCAAAAAAAAAUUGUUUUCUGAAAAGAUCCUCCCCAGACAGUGUGGAAAAACAGCUGUGUAACAAAAGCCAUACUCUGAGUCCUUCCAAUGUCUACAUAUUAAAGGCUUGGUUCUCAGGUUGA